rnacentral:rRNA from 1 species
GAGUCUUAAUUGGGCGUUAAGUUGCAGGGUAUAGACCCGAAACCCGGUGAUCUAGCCAUGGGCAGGUUGAAGGUUGGGUAACACUAACUGGAGGACCGAACCGACUAAUGUUGAAAAAUUAGCGGAUGACCUGUGGCUGGGGGUGAAAGGCCAAUCAAACCGGGAGAUAGCUGGUUCUCCCCGAAAGCUAUUUAGGUAGCGCCUCGUGAAUUCAUCUCCGGGGGUAGAGCACUGUUUCGGCUAGGGGGCCAUCCCGGCUUACCAACCCGAUGCAAACUGCGAAUACCGGAGAAUGUUAUCACGGGAGACACACGGCGGGUGCUAACGUCCGUCGUGAAGAGGGAAACAACCCAGACCGCCAGCUAAGGUCCCAAAGUCAUGGUUAAGUGGGAAACGAUGUGGGAAGGCCCAGACAGCCAGGAUGUUGGCUUAGAAGCAGCCAUCAUUUAAAGAAAGCGUAAUAGCUCACUGGUCGAGUCGGCCUGCGCGGAAGAUGUAACGGGGCUAAACCAUGCACCGAAGCUGCGGCAGCGACACUAUGUGUUGUUGGGUAGGGGAGCGUUCUGUAAGCCUGUGAAGGUGGCCUGUGAGGGUUGCUGGAGGUAUCAGAAGUGCGAAUGCUGACAUAAGUAACGAUAAAGCGGGUGAAAAGCCCGCUCGCCGGAAGACCAAGGGUUCCUGUCCAACGUUAAUCGGGGCAGGGUGAGUCGACCCCUAAGGCGAGGCCGAAAGGCGUAGUCGAUGGGAAACGGGUUAAUAUUCCCGUACUUGGUGUUACUGCGAAGGGGGGACGGAGAAGGCUAUGUUGGCCGGGCGACGGUUGUCCCGGUUUAAGCGUGUAGGUGUGUGUUCCAGGUAAAUCCGGUUCACUUUAACACUGAGGCGUGAUGACGAGGCACUACGGUGCUGAAGCAACAAAUGCCCUGCUUCCAGGAAAAGCCUCUAAGCAUCAGGUAACAUCAAAUCGUACCCCAAACCGACACAGGUGGUCAGGUAGAGAAUACCAAGGCGCUUGAGAGAACUCGGGUGAAGGAACUAGGCAAAAUGGUGCCGUAACUUCGGGAGAAGGCACGCUGACAUGUAGGUGAAGUGAUUUACUCAUGGAGCUGAAGUCAGUCGAAGAUACCAGCUGGCUGCAACUGUUUAUUAAAAACACAGCACUGUGCAAACACGAAAGUGGACGUAUACGGUGUGACGCCUGCCCGGUGCCGGAAGGUUAAUUGAUGGGGUCAGCGCAAGCGAAGCUCCUGAUCGAAGCCCCGGUAAACGGCGGCCGUAACUAUAACGGUCCUAAGGUAGCGAAAUUCCUUGUCGGGUAAGUUCCGACCUGCACGAAUGGCGUAAUGAUGGCCAGGCUGUCUCCACCCGAGACUCAGUGAAAUUGAACUCGCUGUGAAGAUGCAGUGUACCCGCGGCAAGACGGAAAGACCCCGUGAACCUUUACUAUAGCUUGACACUGAACAUUGAGCCUUGAUGUGUAGGAUAGGUGGGAGGCUUUGAAGUGUGGACGCCAGUCUGCAUGGAGCCGGCCUUGAAAUACCACCCUUUAAUGUUUGAUGUUCUAACGUGGACCCGUGAUCCGGGUUGCGGACAGUGUCUGGUGGGUAGUUUGACUGGGGCGGUCUCCUCCUAAAGAGUAACGGAGGAGCACGAAGGUUGGCUAAUCCUGGUCGGACAUCAGGAGGUUAGUGCAAUGGCAUAAGCCAGCUUGACUGCGAGCGUGACGGCGCGAGCAGGUGCGAAAGCAGGUCAUAGUGAUCCGGUGGUUCUGAAUGGAAGGGCCAUCGCUCAACGGAUAAAAGGUACUCCGGGGAUAACAGGCUGAUACCGCCCAAGAGUUCAUAUCGACGGCGGUGUUUGGCACCUCGAUGUCGGCUCAUCACAUCCUGGGGCUGAAGUAGGUCCCAAGGGUAUGGCUGUUCGCCAUUUAAAGUGGUACGCGAGCUGGGUUUAGAACGUCGUGAGACAGUUCGGUCCCUAUCUGCCGUGGGCGCUGGAGAACUGAGGGGGGCUGCUCCUAGUACGAGAGGACCGGAGUGGACGCAUCACUGGUGUUCGGGUUGUCAUGCCAAUGGCACUGCCCGGUAGCUAAAUGCGGAAGAGAUAAGUGCUGAAAGCAUCUAAGCACGAAACUUGCCCCGAGAUGAGUUCUCCCUGAGACUUA